rnacentral:rRNA from 1 species
UAAACUCCCCGUGUUGAGGAAGAUAAUGACGGUACUCAACAAGGAAGUGACGGCUAACUACGUGCCAGCAGCCGCGGUAAAACGUAGGUCACAAGCGUUGUCCGGAAUUACUGGGUGUAAAGGGAGCGCAGGCGGGCGAUCAAGUUGGAAGUGAAAUCCAUGGGCUCAACCCAUGAACUGCUUUCAAAACUGAUUGUCUUGAGUAGUGCAGAGGUAGGCGGAAUUCCCGGUGUAGCGGUGGAAUGCGUAGAUAUCGGGAGGAACACCAGUGGCGAAGGCGGCCUACUGGGCACCAACUGACGCUGAGGCUCGAAAGUGUGGGUAGCAAACAGGAUUAGAUACCCUGGUAGUCCACACCGUAAACGAUGAUUACUAGGUGUUGGAGGAUUGACCCCUUCAGUGCCGCAGUUAACACAAUAAGUAAUCCACCUGGGGAGUACGACCGCAAGGUUGAAACUCAAAGGAAUUGACGGGGGCCCGCACAAGCAGUGGAGUAUGUGGUUUAAUUCGACGCAACGCGAAGAACCUUACCAAGUCUUGACAUCCUGCGACGAUGCUAGAAAUAGUAUUUUCCUUCGGGACGCAGAGACAGGUGGUGCAUGGUUGUCGUCAGCUCGUGUCGUGAGAUGUUGGGUUAAGUCCCGCAACGAGCGCAACCCUUAUGGUCAGUUACUACGCAAGAGGACUCUGGCCAGACUGC